rnacentral:rRNA from 1 species
AACGUAGGAGGCGAGCGUUAUCCGGAUUUACUGGGCGUAAAGCGCAUGCAGGCGGUUCUGCAAGUUGGGCGUGAAAUCUCUCGGCUUAACCGGGAGGGGUCGUUCAAUACUGCAGGACUUGAGUGCAGGAGAGGAAAGCGGAAUUCCCGGUGUAGCGGUAAUAUGCGCAGAUAUCGGGAAGAACACCAGUGGCGAAGGCGGCUUUCUGGCCUGUAACUGACGCUAAGAUGCGAAAGCCAGGGGAGCGAACGGGAUUAGAUACC